CUUGCUCCUAGAGGCAGUGUGGGCGUGGCUGCCGUGUCACACAUGCGUCAGCAGGUGGCAGAGAGGCGAGAGGGUAUGUCUAUGCUCAGUGUUCUAACCUGUGAACAUCUGAAUGGUCAGUAGCCUAACAUU